UACAGAGGGUGCAAGCGUUGUUCGGAAUUACUGGGCGUAAAGCGCGUGUAGGCUGCGGUGUAAGUCGGACGUGAAAGCCCUUGGCUUAACCAAGGAAGUGCAUCCGAUACUGCGUCGCUUGAGUGCCGGAGGGGAUGGCGGAAUUCCCGGUGUAGAGGUGAAAUUCGUAGAUAUCAGGAGGAACACCGGUGGUGUAGACGGCUUUCUGGACCGUAACUGACGCUGAGACACGAAAGCGUGGGUAGCAAACAGG
rnacentral:rRNA from 1 species